UUAAUUGAAGAGUUUGAUCAUGGCUCAGAUUGAACGCUGGCGGCAGGCCUAACACAUGCAAGUCGAGCGGAAACGACAACAUUGACCCUUCGGGUGAUUUAUUGGGCGUCGAGCGGCGGACGGGUGAGUAAUGCCUGGGAAAUUGCCCUGAUGUGGGGGAUAACUAUUGGAAACGAUAGCUAAUACCGCAUAACGUCUACGGACCAAAGAGGGGGACCUUCGGGCCUCUCGCUUCAGGAUAUGCCCAGGUGGGAUUAGCUAGUUGGUGAGGUAAUGGCUCACCAAGGCG
rnacentral:rRNA from 1 species